CUCCUACGGGAGGCAGCAGUGGGGAAUAUUGGGCAAUGGAGGCAACUCUGACCCAGCAACGCCGCGUGGAGGAUGACGCAUUUCGGUGUGUAAACUCCUUUUUUGUGGGAAGAUAAUGACGGUACCAUAAGAAUAAGCAUCGGCUAACUCCGUGCCAGCAGCCGCGGUAAUA
rnacentral:rRNA from 1 species